UGUUCCCAGCAAAGUAGCGCAGCGGUGCAAUUCCUGGGUACUUUUCUCCGAUCGAUAGCGUAUCCAUUUCAACAUUCUGAGUGGCUGGUGAAGCGAAGAUGCUGCACUGAACUGUUAAAAUUAGUAUGAAAUAUGUGGACGAGUGGUCGACACGGCCAGCCAGUGGCCGCGGUUCACAGGUCACGUCGGCGCAGUGAAUGUCGUAUUGAAUGUCGCGAUUUUAUCAUGUAAAAAGUGUACAAAUUACUCCCGCGCCUUCACUACAUAUGUAGUCAAGUGCGGUUUUCGUGGCACUCCUGACACUCAAGACCUCUGGAUGGUGAUUGCGGGACUUCUUCCAAUUCCUCAGGAAGUUGGAACUCAUGACAUGUAGCCACGGGAGCUCCCUUAAACAGCCCGCGGUCAGCCUGGCGGUGGCAGCAGUACCUGAAAUAGUACAAAAACUGGAGAUAAUAUAAGGCUUACAUGGAGCCUGCUCAGCCCCAAGUGGACUCUACACAGCCCCCACCUGAGGCCUGCUGGAAUAAUUGGAUGCCACCAUGGUGAACAAAGCCCUGCUAACCUUGUUGUACGAAAGCACCUUGGAACCAGCGGCCCACUAUUAAAGCACAGCUCCAUUUGUCAAAACAUAGAAAGGAAGGAAGGAAGGAAAAAAGUGGCGAAGGAAGAACGGGAGGUUAACCAUGCAGUUCGGCCUAACCGGUUUGCUACCCAGAAAACCGGUUAAUGGAUAAUGGAGAAACGUUGAUAAUGUGCGAAUGUUCUGAGGGUGAUCCCUCCAUUUGUGUACCAAAGUGCACAGUCUAGUCUUGGGUCAUUCUGUCGUGACUCCGGGAAUUACGAGCACCUGUUAGUGGCUGCAUUAGGAAGGGCUGGCCGUUUUAGGCCCCGACGUCAUCAGAAAAGCCACUCUUGUGUUUCGAGAGACAGAAACGGUGCGUACAAAUCAAAACCCAACCCCAAUAACGGCAGGCAUGCAUUGUUUUGCUUUUUGACGGUGACUGUUUCUGCGCCGCACUAUCACUGUUAUCAAGUUAUCACUCGGCGCAAGAACUGUCGCGUACAGUAGGCGUGUGUUGCGCCAAGCGAUGAGUUGAUUGCUGCGAUAAUCAGAUGACAAAACAACCACCGGCAAGAAAUCAAAACAAUAUACGCGUGACAAUAAAAUUGCAAUGAUAUAUUUUUAAAAGUAUGCAUGUUUCAUGAGAGCGCAAUAGUUCGUCCUAACCAAAAAAUAGCUCAUUUCUCUUCGAAGAAAUUUCGAACACGCAGCUUUCAUUUUUUAUCCACGCGUAGACAGCGCUUAACCCCAGUGAGUGUAAAAAACGCAAAUUCGACUGUGUUUAAAGGGGCCGUCGCGCCCAAAGGUCUUCCUGUGAACGU